rnacentral:tRNA from 1 species
GGGGCUAUAGCUCAGUGGCAAAGAGCACACUUGAUGUGCCGAGGUUCUGGGUUCAAUCCCUGGUGCCUCCA